rnacentral:rRNA from 1 species
GGGUGCGACAAUACCGACACUAAUGCACCGAAUCCCAAUCGAACUCCGCAGUUAAGCGUGUUUGGACGAGAGUAGGACUAGGAUUGGUGACUUCCUAGGAAAUCCUCGUGUUGCACCCC